AUUGAACGCUGGCGGCAGGCCUAACACAUGCAAGUCGAACGGUAACAGGAAGAAGCUUGCUUCUUUGCUGACGAGUGGCGGACGGGUGAGUAAUGUCUGGGAAACUGCCUGAUGGAGGGGGAUAACUACUGGAAACGGAAGCUAAUACCGCAUAACGUCGCAAGACCAAAGAGGGGGACCUUCGGGCCUCUUGCCAUCGGAUGUGCCCCGAUGGGAUUAGCUAGUAGGUGGGGUAACGGCUCACCUAGGCGACGAUCCCUAGCUGGUCUGAGAGGGUGACCAGCCACACUGGAACUGAGACACGGUCCAGACUCCUACGGGAGGCAGCAGUGGGGAAUAUUGCACAAUGGGCGCAAGCCUGAUGCAGCCAUGCCGCGUGUAUGAAGAAGGCCUUCGGGUUGUAAAGUACUUUCAGCGGGGAGGAAGGGAGUAAAGUUAAUACCUUUGCUCAUUGACGUUACCCGCAGAAGAAGCACCGGCUAACUACGUG
rnacentral:rRNA from 1 species